UAAACUCAAAGUAAUCAAAGCCAUCGGGAAUGGAUUCCUCAUCAAAACCCGGACACUGUACCUGAGCUGAUCUUUCUAGUAAUGUAUUCUUGGCCACUAGAGUGGGAGGAGACCAAGUCAGCAAACCAUUUGAGGCAGUCACUAGGUUCAGUUUGCAACACAUCAUUUGUAUCUCCAUUUACAGAACUAGACGCUGAGAUGGAAAUUAUAGACUCUGCAGCAACCCUCAUGGCUUCUUCACUCGACUUGUUAGAUUCUUCUAAUGUAAGUUUAGAAUUCCCACAUUCUUCUUCAGAUUCAAGAACUGCUGGAGCCUCUAAGUCUAUCUCAGUGGUUGCAAUCCUCACCACAGCCUGAGGAAGAGGAGGUGCGGAUGGUGCCUCUUCUUCAUCUAAAGACAAGUUCAAAUCAAUCUGAUACCUUAAACCAGAAGUGCAACCAUUUAGUCCUUUUUCUUGAACAAAAUCAUUAGCUUCCACCUUCUUUGUACAAACAGUCUCAUCCCGUGAAAUGAUUGUGGCAGUAACACCGUCAAUAUCAGGAAAAGUGGCCUUUGAGAGAGAACGGGCUGCAUGCGAGUCCUUGGAGGCACUUAAAAUUGGAGCACCAAAAAUUGUCCUUAUUUUAGUGCUGUCACUAACUUCAACUUUCUGGCAUUCAGAACCUUUGGAGGAUAUCGAUGACAAGGUUCCCCGUCUCUGAUCUAUAAAUUGAGAGGAGUUGACUGCUGUGUCUUCUCUUCUAAAAAACUGCUGGGAGUAAUUCUGCAAGGAGUCCAGAUUUAAGUGAUAACAACUUUCCUUCCCUUUGGUCUGCUCUACACAUUCCUGUGAUUUCCCGACUAACCAAGGCAAUGUUUCCCGGGGGUUUUCCUGUUUCCUCUGAGAAUCUCCAGAUACAUGUGUUUUUCCAGCAGCUUCAGUUUGAGAUACACCAGAAGUAUCUCUGGCAUUCUUUAACCCAGCAGAUUUAUAAUCCAUGUCAUUCACACAAUUGAAAGUAUUUGUCCAAUCUUUAGCACUUGGCUGAGAUCUUUUACAAAGAACAUUUUGGUCUGGAAGUACAUUCUUUGAACUUGAAUCUGAUCUGACAUCACUUCCCAUAUGCAUAUUGCCUUGAUAGGCCGCAAGGUUUCGCAGAAGUUCAGUAUAACUCUGAGAAAGUGGUUGAGAUUUAUGAGUAGGCAUUUGCACAUUGGAAAAGCUAGCAGAUUGUACUUGAUUUUCUUCAUGAAUUUCAACGCCAAAAAUUGUCCUUUUCUUUGGGUGCUCAUUCUUGGUUUCCUUAAUGAGAGAGUGCUUGAAAAGUUCAUGACCUUGUGAUGACUGACAGGCUUUAGGUAACUUUUCAGCAGUUUCAAGUCUUCCAGAAGAUCUGUUAUCUGGUUGCUUUUGCUCUGUAACAGAAGAUGAGAUCAAAACGAAAGUUAGUAGCAAAAUAAUAAUAUAAAAUACGGCACGCAAGGCAUGUGUGAUUGUUGCAUCAUGACCUCUACUUUAUAAAAGAGGAAAAUAUGAAAAUUGGAAAGAAUAAAUGAGGUAGGUCCAAACAUCAGUAGAGACUAUUGCGCAAAAUUAAGAGUUUUUCAAUAAUAGAGACCUGUUUACUAGAAUCAUGACCUCUACUUCAUAAAAGACGAAAAUAUGAAAAUUGGAAAGAAGAAAUAAGGUAGGUCCAAACAUCAGUAGAGACUAUUGCGCAAAAUUAAGAGUUUUUCAAUAAUAGAGACCUGUUUACUAGAAUAAUAUGCAUUAACCUCAACAACUGUCUACGCAUUGAAAGAAAACGGGGAUGCAGUAUAUCAAAUGAAGAGGUGUUACACAACAAGAGAUCUUUCUGUGACUAUUACGGUGGUCCUUUCCGCUCCUACUUUUGGUAGUCCAUCUAAACAUUCAUACUGCAACUCAUUUAACAAAUAUCUCAGCAAGAAAAAGUCACAACUAGAACUAAAGUUGUGCACCAUACAGGUUGCUGACAUAUAUUUAGUCUUCCCUUAAUAUCCCUAUAUAGAAAGGACACACCAUAUGGGAAUCCUCUCUAAGUCAAGAAAGUCGAUUUGGAAGUGGCAUCGGAUACUAGCUAAAAAUUCUUCCUUAUCGGCUUAUCCUCCUUUCUAAUGAAACAUAUGAAAAGUAACUGCCUACUGAUACAGUUGAAAAGUAACAAGACAGGUUUACAUCAUGAAAACAUUCUUACCAGCAUUAAAUUUAAAAGUUAACUGCUCUUCUUCAUUCCUGCAAGGCGGGUGGUUGAGGCAAAUUCCACCAAUCCUUUCCUUGAGUGACUUAGGAGAGAACUUCGCCCCAUCAGAGCUGCCAUCCUCGAGGCAAGUAAUGCUGGUUAUAUUGAUAUCCGGAACCAAAGGAGGAUCUUCUUCAAGUGGUAAAGGUUUAUUCAAGUCAGCCAGUUCAUCAGUCCUUUUUGAGGAAUUGGUUCUGUCAAGAUCAGCAUCAGAAUGAAAUUCUAAAGCUCUAGGUGUCUUCACAUCUCUUCUUCGGGGGAUUGGAUAAAUUCCCUCAGCAGGGUUCCCUUGAAUGCCAGCUAAUCCCAAUUGUUUCAUAGUAGUUUGUUCUUCUUCGUUAUUCGUGCACUCUUCAACUACAUAUCUAGAGUUGAACAUUUUUCUCUGGAACAAACUACUACCAGGCUGGUGAGGUUCACAUUCCCUUGAACUGUUUGUGACUUGAGGGGAGAAAUGAAUGGACCUACUAUCGUUCUCUAUAAAAUCAAAGGAUGAUUUGUACUUAGAAGCAUCUUUCAUUGAUAGCUGGCCAGCUAUAGAAUCCAAUGAAGGAAAAUGAGACAAUGAGGGACUAGACUGGAAUAUCUUCAUUUGACUGUUAAACAUUUCUUUCCUUUGAUGUUCAUUCAUGAGAUCUCUUUGUCUUCUAUAUAGCCGGUGGAGUUCUUGGAUCUGUACGUGUAAACCACAUCAAGAGCACAUAAAUGUUAAAACUAUGAUCUCUUUAUUUUAGCCCUCCAUAGAAAUGCAACCAUUUGAGUGAGAAAUAGUUAAAAGUCAAUGUACCUGAUGCCUAAAAAUUGUUUCAUGCUCCAGAAUUGUCUGCCUCAUUUUUUCUCUGUCACAUCCCGAAUAUCCAUCAAUUGGUUGCGACGACAAAAUUGAAUCAGUGCACUGACUUCUUUUCCUUGACUUAUUUUCAUGAUCUAAGAGCCAUGGGGUAUUAGUUCCGUUGUUAUUUAGAUCACUCAUGGAGCAAAAUCCUGGCAAGUACGUCUUACAUUGUACUUUAGUGCCCAUUCCUGCAAUCAUACAAGGGGUAGAAAAAUGAUUAAGUCAGUAAAACAAUUAAACAGAGAGAAAAAAAGCUGAAAAACUGCAAACUAGACAGCAAAAAGAUCAAACACCACGAAUAAGACUUAACGGACUCUAAAUCAGACUAAUAGAAUCUUGCAAAUUUUUUAGAGGGAUUAUAACACAGUUGCAAGCUCAGUAAAAAAAAACAAUCAAUCCAAUCUACUUCAGUUCAACAAGCCAGAGUAAUCGCUUGAAAAUUCUAGUAAGAUCCACGAUGCUAAGAAAUCUUCUGGCUAUGCGAAUGAAAAGGAAAUUCCAAAAUUAAAACAUAUGUCUUCAGAUCACGGAAAGUGCUUCCGUUGAUCUUGCAUUAUACUUCUACUUCUCUCAUUUUUUGAGCCAUAGGCAUAACUUUUUCGUCUUACAAAACAAGUAUACCAACCCAAUUCAUUCAUGUAUAAUUGCUAUCUCUUUGCACGCCAAAUACAACAUUUUUGGACAUACAAAUAUACAAUCAUAGCGGAGGCCAAGUGAGGAAUUCCUCAGGCACGAUACACCCUGUCAAAUUGCCAGUGAGGUUCAAUAUUUACAGAAGUUAUAACAAACAUCAACAUAUCAAAGCCUGCUUACUUCUGAUGGGUUAACAAGUAUAUAACAAUAAAAUUAUUCAAUUUUCAAGUCAAAUUUUGGAAUUGAAGGCAAUGCAAUCUAUGAAUUAAUUCCUUACUUUUCCAUGAAAAAAUAAAAUAAAAAUUCCUUGUUCGAUUUUGCCCAAAAAAGGUAUGAAAUAUCAGUAAAAAAAACUUCUGGUCCAAUUUCCCAAUUCUCUUUUAUUUUCUUCCUUUCAAAUAAUCAAAACAUAAAGAUCAAAACCAAUACAUGAAAGCUCAAAAGGCAAACAGAGAAUAAAACUUGAAAAACAAGUAAACAACAUAAAAGAAAUUAAUAAAGUGAAAAUUUUAAAUUACCUCAAAAAAAAUCUCUUAUAACUCCUCUUCUUAACAACUUGAAAUUCAAUUUUGAGUCUCAGAAGAACAAACAAGCAUAAGAAUUCUGUUUUGUCACAGAAAUUCCUUUUUAAUAAAACCCUACACACCCAAAACAAGAAAAGCAACAACCUUUGUGUUGUCACUUCACAAACCUUAAAAACAAAAAAAUCAUAUCCACAAUCAAGAAUUCAAUUAAAAACACCAUAUAAUAAAAUUUAAAUUAAAAAAAAAGUACCCUUGUGGUGUGAUCAAUCAAAAGAAGCUAGAGAGAUCCCAGAUAAGAUUAAGAUCUCUCUCUUUGUUUCUCUCUCUACAGAGAAAAAAAAAUGAAGUCUUUUGAAAAAGCAAUGACUUAAAAAAUGUGGUCUCUUCAUAUACUUUUAUUUUUUGUUUCACCUUUCAAUCAUUUCUUUACCCAAUUGGCUAUCUUUGAUAGUUAUAUAACAACAAAGUAGUAUCAAAAUGAAUAAAAUAAAAUAUUUGACAGAUUUUAUUUUUCUGGUCUUUUGAGGAACUGAAAGACAUAGGUAUUUGUAGCACAUUUUCUAGAUUCUCUGUGACCCUCUCUCUUUCUCUCCUGCUUGUUGGGUACCACAUAAUUUAAUUUUAUAUUUCUUUAUUAUUGACAACUACUUUAGAUUAGGAUCAUUAUUUUAUAUAUAUAUAUAUAUAUAUAUAUAUAUAUUUUGAUCAUUAGUAAUAAUAAGUAAUUUGCUUUUAUUUUUCAAGUAAUUAAUAAACGAGUACUCAUAGCUAUAAUUAUCAUUUAAAUGAUUUGAUGCAACAUAAGAGAAAAUUAACUACUUUCAUAGUCCAUAUUUAUUUGUCCAUUAUAUUAUUUGGAAUGUCCAACAAUAAUUAUUCAGUUUAUAAAAUCAAUGAGUAAUAUAUAAUUUUAUGUGUAUUUUACACUUGUUAUUAAAACACAAGUUGUGUGAUGACUGAUGAGGCACAAAAUAUAAAAAAUAUCUUUAUGAUCCAAUCAAAUUCAUGAUAGUAGAUAUUGUAGAGCCCUACUAUAAUUUUAGGGGAAAAAAAUUUGGCCAGAAAUUAUCUAUGUUAUUUUACCUUUUUAAACAUUUUUACCCUUUUAAUUUUAAUACAUUUUAACUCAAAAAUGAAAAAAAGAUCAGUUUAUUUUAAAAUAAAAAAAAUAUUAUAUUUUUUUAAUUUUCUGACCACUUAACAUUCCCUUUUCAAUAUUAGAUAACUUAUAUUUAAUAAGGGUGAUUUGAUAAAAUUACCCCUAUCAUUUAGUGUUUCUUAAUCCUUGUGUCAAGUUAAUAAGUACUACUCAGUUUUCAUUUUGCAUCCAACUCGGAAACUAAAAUCCACAAACAAAUGCUCAUAAAUGUAAAAGGGAAAAUUUUACAAAAAAGUAAAUGGAGUGAAAUUGGAAGGUGAAAUUUCGGACUCGGUCAUUGUGGUUCGAAAUUAUUUUUUCUCAAAUUGUGAGGAGUUCAAGAAGAAAGUUAAACUCUAUUUUUUGAAAAUUUAGUGUGAUUUAGGUGAUUAUUGUUGCGAAAAAAUGAUUAAUAGAUGAUUAACUAAGCAUAAAUUAGUAAUUACAAAUUGUUUUGGCAUUUCUCUGGACUAAAAUCUGUGCUUUACUUUAGUAAAUUUCAGAUUACUCUCCCCUGGUGUUUGGGUUAAACAAUUUUUUUUUUCCAGUUAGGUAAUUACAGUUGAAAACAUUUGUAACAACUAAUAUAAACCUGAUAAUUUUUGCUUUGUUCUUAGCUGCGCAUAAUGCCCGAAGCCUUCACAAUCACAUUCACCAUGGUCCAUGUAUAAUAUAUAGUUUCAGAUGCCAAAGUUGAUUCCUUCACUGUUCCUCGAACUACCAAACAAGCAUAUGAAAGCGAUCAAAUACCUAAUUGUACUAAACUUAUAUGAUCGGGGCCACGCCUUAAUCUUUUUAAAAACAUCUAAUUAAUCACUCUGUUUCUGCAGAAAUCAUUCUUCAAUUCAGCCAUGGAGAUGUCUGAUUCUAUUGUCAACUAUGCAAAGCCAGUUCACAUAUUAUUUCUCCCAAGUGGUCUGGGAGUGGGACAAAUGGUUCCAUUUUUUCGAUUAGCUUCCAUGUUAGCUUCACACAGAUGUAGAAUCACCUUCAUCACUAUGCUACUUGAAAUAUCUACCACAGAGUCCAUCUUGAUCAACAACUUUUUCGCCAAUCACCUAGAAAUCAAUCGAAUAGAUUUUCAAAUUCUUCCUUUGAAUACCUCUACUUGCUCAAUUAGUGAUCCAUUCAUCAUGCAAAUUGAUGCUAUUAGUAACUCACUUCACCAGCUCGGCCCUCUGGUGUCUUCUUUGGAUGAACCAGUUUCUGCUAUUGUCUCAGACUUUAUUCUUGCAUCUAGUCUUUCACAAAUAGCUAAUAAUCUCAAUAUUCCUCUUUACAAUAUCUCCACAACAUCAGCUAAAUUUUACUCUACUGUAGCGUACCUUCCUGUACUGUUAUCCAAAGAUCCUGAUGCAUUUAAGUACUGCUCGGGCAAUCUUGAGAUUCCAGGUAUAGGAUCAGUUCCAAAAUCAAGCAUUCCCCGUUCAUGGCUGGACGAUUCACCAUCAAACUAUGUAUUGAAAGACUACUUGCUGCCAAAUACUCGAGCUCUUCCUCAAGUGACUGGUGUCUUUCUGAACACCUUUGACUGGUUUGAACCAGAAACAAUUGCUUCCCUCGAUGAUGGAAGAGUAACCAGUUCACUUCCACUUGUUUUUCCUGUUGGUCCUGUGGGAAAUUACAACCUAGGAGAAGACAAUCAGUGUUCAUGGUUAGAUGAACAACCUGCUGAAUCAGUUGUAUAUGUUAACUUUGGUACUAGAGAGCCGAUUUCUGCACAACAACUAAGAGAAAUAGGAGAAGGACUAGAGAUAUGCGGAUAUAAGUUUCUAUGGGUGCUAAAAGAAGAGCUUCUAGAGUUGUUUGGGAAUACAGUCCUGGUAGAGAUGGAAAAGAAAGGGAAAAUAAUGAAACCAGGGGAUUAUGAGGCAGCUAUUAUGGACCAUCCAGCCAUUGGACUUUUCGUGAACCAGUGCGAAUGGGAUUCAGUGAUGAAUGCAGCUUGGUCAGGAGUGCCAAUGAUGGCGUGGCCACAGCAUGGUGAUCAAAAGUUGAAUGCAGAAGUUGUAGAGAAGGCAGGAUUGGGGAGGUGGGUAGAAGAAUGGGGUUGGGGUGAGGAAAAUCUAGUGAAUGGUGGGGAGAUUGCAGAGAUGGUGAAAAACUUAAUGGGAGAUGUUAAUAUGAAGAUAAAUGCUAUGAAAGUGAGGGAACAAGCUAGGAAGGCCAAGGAAAUCGGAGGGAGCUCAGAAAAGAGGCUGAGGAAAUUCAUCGAAACAUUAACAGCAGAACAAAAAUGAUGUAUCUACGCCAUUCCUAUUGAUCCUUUGCUUGUAAAAAUAAAUGUAACUGCAAUUCGUAAGCUGUUAAAGUCAAAAGAUUGCAGGCCAGGCCAACAACACACGAAUAAGUUAAAGCACAAUAAGAAUCAAAUGCAGUCCAUUAAAGCAAGUUUACAGGUGUAAAGUGGAAGCUCCUGAUAUCAAGAUCCACAGGAGUUAACAAAUUGUUAAACAAAGUAGAGCUUAUCCAGUAAUCUAAAUACGGAAAGAAAAAUGUCGAGGAAGCACCUUAAGGUAUUAAGCAAGCACAUAAACAUUCAGAAAAACGUCUGGAAGAAAAACAUACAAUGAAAGCAUAAGUAACUAGUAUCAUUCUCCCUUUAGAGGAAGUUCAAAUUUUCCCAUGUGAAUAGAAGGGAACACUACCAUUUAGUUAGAUUGUCUUCUUUGAAAUAACAUCAAAAGAUAUUCCAUUGUGUUGAAGCCUGUUUUGGAGGUCGGUUGGGCCAAACACAACCCCAGGUGGGAAAACACCUCCUUUUGGAAGAUUGUUUCGUUCCUUGAGCAAAAUGAGAGCACACUGGACAAGAAUGAUUGGAGUUGUUAAAUAACCAAUCUCAGGUCCCAUUACUCUUGUAAUUAUCUCUGUAUCAGGUUUCAUGUUUCCUUGUGAUGCAAGACUGCCAUCGCUAAACCCAUGUCCGACAAACCACAUCUUAAAGGUAGCACUUGCCACUUCAUCUUCAGUUGGACCUUUUUUCCUGAACCAUCCAAGACUGAACAAUGAAGGGAAUUUCAAUAGCAGCCACCUCCAUAAACCAGUUUUACCAAAGAGACCAAUGAACAGCCCGACUAUAAUGAAACGAACAAUUCCUAACGGAGAUUUUGAAGCUAUCUUCACACCAAAGUGAGCUGGCUUUAUGCUUGACCAAAAUGUCUCCCUCCUCUCAACUUGUUCAGUGCUUUCAUUAACACCAGGUAAACCAUGAGGAUUUUCAGCCAAACAUGAAAGUGUUCUUCGGACUACAAUUGCAUCUGCUGAUGGUAACUUUACAGCCCAAACACCAACUUCCUUUAGGUGGUCCAUCAACGGACCUUUAGGAGGAGGAGGACCAGGAAUCUAAAACAAACAGGAAAAUAUUAGAGAGUGAGUGAAUAUGUGUCACAGAUAUAAUGUGUUAUUUUACAGAGGAAACACUGAAAAUUACUGUACCACAGCAGCAUGGUACAUAGUAUGGCUUUGUGCAAUGAGUAAUCUAGCAAAUGUUGCAGGUAUUAAAUAAGCCCAUCUCUAACAAUGAAUCUCUAUUAAAAGUAUGCAUAUAAUAAAAAUGUUGAUCCCUGUCAUGCACGGAUUCGAGCUAUCCAUCAUAAGGCUACGAAUUUCUACCAUAUACUCAUCAGCAUCAUCACAUAUUGACUACGACACACAUUUUAGGGAAAGAGUUAAUUGGUUCUCAAAUUUCCACAUGUAAAAUACAUUUUUAUAAUGAUGCGAACAUUCUGCAAAAUGAGGAAAACAACCUUAACAUAAUGGACUUUGAUUGCAGUUUACACCUUCAAACACAAACUGAUUAAUUGAUUUCUAAGUUGUAAUGAUUAAUUGCUUCUUAACCUACAGUAUUCCUCCAGUGAAAGAAGAGAACAAAAAAAAAUCCAUUACUCUUUCUCAAUACUGAUGCAAUCUUUUCAAAGACAAAAUCACUUCUCAUUUAGCAUCAUUCCCUGCCACAUAAUUAACACACCACAGGACCAAAUUGCAUCAAAUAGUUGUUGGCCGUAGCAAGUAGACUGAUGGAUUCAUGAAACUGCGUGUACAUAUUUAUAUGUGUGCUUUCAUAGAGGAAGAAAAGGGUGAAUCAUAAAUCUGGAGGUUCUCACAGCAGUAAUCACAUUUUAAUACCACUCACAAAUUGGUUCAACUUAUAUUUAUCCAUAUCCCAUGACACAAGACUUAAGUUUCAAUCAGUUAAAAUCACAGGGGAUAUAUUGCUUGCGAAGCACACUCCCAGUUUAUCAACUUCAAUUUCUUCUGAUAUGGCUAUAUAGUAGACCAUUUGAAUUUAUGUAAAAUUUUCUCCACAAAGAAUGCUAAAAUUGCCAGAUACCCUGAACUAGAGAAGCCAGAUACAAAUUUAUAAGUAACACAUAAAUAUUGAGUUAUAUUUUUUUUUAAAUGAGCUGUGUAAGGGCUAAGGCUUUGCUCUGUUGAUAACCAUGGUGUAUGAGUUAGCUUGCAUGUCUCGUAAUCCCCGCUAAAGUACACAUAACCUCAACAUCGGGAUGCACACGUAGGAGGGGGUUGAGUUAUAUUUGUCAAUUUGUCCUUCCAUUGGGAGUUCCUUAUGACUAAAUAAACUAAGAUGUUACCAUGACUGCAAUUUAAGGAGGCAAAACAGAUGGUUGGGUAAUGGAAUUGAGACCAAGAUCAUCAGUAUCAACAUGAAAUGAAGCCUUACCACAGGACGAGGCCUCUUUGGUCUGCUCCGCCGCAGCUCCUGUAAUUUGUCCACAUUAGCCACACCAAGCACCGCUGACUCAUACGUCCCCAAAUUUCCAACAAUUCUCUUGUCCGAUUCUAGACUAAGGUAGGCCUCAACACUGUUAGGAACAGCCGGCGGCAGCCACUGUCUCGAAUUGAACAUCAAUCCCAAUUCAGCAGGAAUAGAAUCAAACCCACAUGCCGAAACAACUAAGGAUCCAUUUUCCACAGCCUUAUCAUGGUACUUCACCUCCAUCCUCUCCAUAAACUCAGGCUCCCCAGAAAUAUCCAAGUAAUCGCAUCCAGAAUCAGCACAGGCCUCAACAACAGGCUCACCAUAAAGACGAAACGGUCCGACACAGUUAAGAAUGAUCUUAGUCUGUGAAGCAAGGUCACGGAGGGAAGAUGGGUCAGUGGUAUUGGCAGUGAGAAUGGGGAUUUCGGGAGGUGGGUUUGGACGGGAAGCCCAUUGAAGAGCCUGGGAAAGCUUUGAAGUGUUACGGCCAGCAAUGGCUAAAUUCUUCAAGGGGGAAGAGGGAACAUUGAGGAAUUUGAGAGCUUCUCUAAUGACGUACUUCCCAGUAAAACCUGAAGCGCCUAAGAUUAUCACGUCGUAAGUUGGAUUCGGAUUAAGGCUCUGAGACAUUUUUUUGAUCGGUAAUCAAAAAAUAGUUGGAUUGGUUUUCCGAUUUCGUUAAUCUCCGGGAGCUGAUCAGUGGGUGGACUGUGGAGACGAAGAGAAGUGUGUGCCUUACUAUUAACUGCGAGAUCCCCGUGAUUCGGUCUCCCCAAGCCCCAACAGGUGGUUUAGAGAAUAAUAUAUAAUAAAGUAACUAAGCAAAUAGGGUUCUAUGGUGUAGUGGUUAGCACUCUGGACUUUGAAUCCAGCGACCUGGGUUCGACUCCCGGUAGGACCUCUUUUUUGUUUUAUGUUUUGAUUUUCCAUAUUGGGGUCGUGCGGGCGGGUUGUACUUAUCCCAAAAAAAAAUAAAAAAAAAUCUGCUCAUGGCAUUUUUUUUUUAGCAACUUUCACAUAUAACAAACACAAAAUUCAUAUUUGUAUGUUAUAGCAAAGUUUGCAUAAUUACGCUCCAUAGCAAACAUAUAUAUGUAUAAUUCUCUAUACAUAUACAAAAAAAACAGUUAUAUAAUCUGUUUUGGUAUACAUAUACAAAAAGAUCAAUUGUAUAAAGUGAGAGAGGCGAGUGCGUGAGCGAGAUCUGGGGAGAGGGGGAACGAAAAAUAUAUGUAUAUAUACAAUUUUCACGCAUUUUAUACAUUUGCGUUUUUGUAUAAAGUGAGAGAGGUGAGUGCGAGAGCGAGAUCUGGGAGAGUGGCGAGCGAGAUCUGGGAGAGGGGAGAGAGGGGAACGAAAAUAUAUGUAUAUAUACAAUUUUCUCUCGCUUUAUAUAAACACAAAACGCACUUUAUACACUUGCGUUUGUAUAAAAAAUGAGAGAGGCGAGGGAGAGAACGAGAGUGGCGAGCGAGAUUCACCAGGAGAGAGGUGAAAUAGUCACAGUUUGCUAUGAUGUACAAUUAAAUCAAACUAUAUUUAUAGCAUUUAAUUUGAAUUAAUAGUUUGCUAUUAUAUACAAUUUUCCCUUCUUUUUUUUCAUUUUCAACCCGCCUCACAUAAUUUUUUUAAUAAUUUUUUUUCUAGUUAAGUUUGAUAUUAAAAAUAAAAUUCAUAAAAAUAAAUUCAUUUUUAUAUUAAGUUGUAUUAAUUUAAUAAGAUAGUGAACUUAAAACUUUAUUUUUUAGAGAUCAAUUAGGAAACAUGUAAGAAAUUAUAUUAUUUUUUAUUGAACAAAUUUCAUUUAUUAUCUUGAAUAUUUUAGUAGUUUUAAAGAAAUUAUUUAUAACAUGUAAAAAGUUCUCUAAAAAAUUAAAAUUAAGUUUGAACCCACAUAAAAACACAUAUACCUGAAACCCACUCUGCCCCCACAUUAGUUUUUAAAAAAAAACCACUUCAACCCACCACGCAUCACACCCGCCCCACACAACCUUAAACUCACCCCACCCCGCCUCAUUGUCAUCCCUACUGGUGUUCGAAUUUGGGUGUGGUGAAGUUCACAUUGAAUACAAAUUACUAUCUAACAAAAAAUGAUUUUAUAUUCAAGGUUCAAAUUCAAAAUUUCUAAUUAAAAAAUGAAAGAUGAAAUUACAAUUUCAAGUUUAUUGAUUCUGAAUUCAAGAAAACACAACUUACUAAACUUUAAAUAAAUUAUUUUCUAUAAUAAAUAAAUCUUUGAUAUAAACAAAAUUAUAGAUCUAGACAAGGCUUGCAGCUUCGUCCCUGCUCGAAAUAUAGAUAAUGUCCAACAUGUAGAGAGUAUAUUUAAGACAAAAGAAAACGUACUAAUCAAUUAGCACAUGUGUGUUGCUUAUAAUAGUCUCAAAGAAAAAUCUGAUUAAAUUAUUUAGGAAGUGAUAAAUGAGAAGAUUUAAGAAAUUAGUGAUAUAAAUAGGGACCAUUUGAGUAAUUUUCACAACGGAAAAGGACUAAAUAUACGUACAAAUUGUUUUAAAAUAUAUUUUGAGUCUCGAUCAAAUACUAUCUCAUGUUAUACUUUCAAUUCAAAUAUAUCUAUUCCGUUAUACUUUUGACACAAAUUUACUCCUAAAUUUUGAUGGAUGAAUACACCAACUAUUUCAUUUCCAAUUAGAUUGAUUUCUAUUAAGGUAAAAAAAUAAUGUGACAUUUAAGUUUUACACAGAAAUGUACAAAAUAAGCUCUAAUGGUCAUGAGAUCCCUUAAGAGAAGCUGAAAAAACCUUGGUGCUCUCAUACCCCGACGUUCCACACCCCUCCCUCAGCAUUUUUUUUAUCACGAGAAAUCCCCGAGGGCCAGAUGGCACACGGUUUAGAACUUGAUGGAUAAUAGACCCGGCCCUCUACCAAGUUUUUUUUGUCUGCAGCAAGGUUCAAACUCGUGAUAUGAGUCUAACCUACACAUCAACAUUGCUUCAGAGGAAGAGUAAGAUUGUGGUUUAGAUAUCUCUGCCUUGGCAAGCGCCUCGUUCUCUUUCCCCACCCGGUUAGACUUUUUUCCUCGAGCCCCAUCUCACUAGAACAAGGCUGGAUUGCUGGAGGUGUGCAAUCUGCAGGAAUUGUUGGGGAAGGAUCAGCAUUUGCUAAACGACGCCUUCCCCUGCCACUCUUACAGGUUUUCCUAUGUGAUAAGCUAGACUGCCAAGAGGAUCCACUAGCUUUAAACAGCUCUUCAAAUAUCAGAAUAUCCUUGUUCACCUCAUACCUUGACAGGGAAAUAAGACCAGGAAGAACGUCCCUCUGGAAAUCUCUCCGUUGCCUGCCCCUUCUUGCUUGCCCUCUUCGAGGCCGUUUUAGUAAGGCAAUGGCCCCCGUUUCUUCUUCAUUAUGGCUCUCCAUUGUCGGCAUUUUAUAGGAAUACUCUUCUUCCUUCAAAUCUUCCAGCUUGAGUGUCAUAAACUCAAAGUAAUCAAAGCCAUCGGGAAUGAUUUCCUCAUCAAACCCGGACACUGUACCUGAGCUGAUCUUUCUAGUAAUGCAUUCUUGGCCACUAGAGUGAGAGGAGAUCAAAUCAGCAAACCAUUUGAGGCAGUCACUAGGUUCAGUUUGCAACACAUCAUUCGUAUCUCCAUUUACAAGACUAGAAGCUGAGAUGGAAAUUAUAGACUCUGCAGCAAACCUCAUGGCUUCUUCACUCGACUUAUUAGAUUCUUCCAAUGUAAGUUUAGAAUUCCCACAUUCUUCU
rnacentral:lncRNA from 1 species